rnacentral:piRNA from 1 species
UCACCUCUUUAUUUAAGGCUAGGAGUGAG